UCCCCCCAAAUUGUUUCACUGCUCCCGCCGAAAGUGGAGGCUUCACCACCGAAAAAUCUGAAAGAUUUGUACGUUUCCCCCGACUCCGACGAAGAUGGUGAUGCCCCACUUUGACGAAGAUGUAGAAGGUUUAAUUUAAGAGAUGCGAUUUUUGGUGGGUCGAUGUGAAUCUUGCGGAUAAUAUGAUAUCAACAAAGAAGGAAACAUUAGAAGAAGAUGGUCCGACGGUGCUUGAGGUGCCAGAGGUAGGUAUGAUGUUAAAGGAUGAAAAAGAAUUGUGGGAUUUUUACAAAAGAUAUGCAUAUCAUAUCGGUUUUCCGAUUAGAAGAAGGAACUCGAAAAAGGGGGACGACGGAAAAAUGAAAUAUAUGACUUUAACAUGUGGUCGUGAAGGUCGGAGGCCUACCAGCACCAGUGGUUCUUCAAAGCCCCAACCAACUACUCAGAUAGAUUGUAAAGCUAGGGUCAUUGUAUCUGUAGAUGUUUAUGGAAUCUGGAGAAUAAACACAGUCCACCUCGACCACAACCAUAAAACAAGUCCUUCAAAGUCGAGGUUGUACUGUUGCAAUUGAGAAUUAAGUUCGCACGUGAAAGGGAAGCUGGAAGUGAAUGAUAUGACUGGAAUUCCUUUACACGAGAGUUUUAAUUCUGCAGUGGUUGAAGUAGGUGGAUAUGAAAAAUUGUCUUGUGUGGAAAGGGAUUGCCGGAAUUAUAUUGAAUAAGUGCGACGGUUAAGACUUGGUGAAGGAGAUGCCGCAGUGAUGCAGUCAUACUUUUCUAGGAUGCAAGCUCAGUGCUCAGGAUUCUACUUUAGUAUGGACCUAGACUAUGAUUCCAGGUUGAAGAAUGUAUUUUGGGCAGACAAUAGGUCUAAACAAGCUUACAAGGAGUUCGACGACGUUGUCACAUUUGAUACCACUUGUCUAACCAACUAGUAUGACAUGCCAUUCACCCCUUUUGUUGGCGUUAAUCAUCAUGGAAAGUCGACAUUGCUCGAUUGUGAUUUGUUGUCCAAUGAGGACACGAAAUCUUUUGUGUGGCUAUUUAGCGCUUAGCUUCAGUUUAUACAUGAAAAUGCUCCCCAUGGAAUCAUUACUGAUCAAGAUAGGGCUAUGCAAAAUGCAGUUCAGAUUUUUUUUCCUAAUACGAAGCAUAAAUGGUGCUUGUGGCAUAUUCUCAAGAAGUUGUCCGAAAAGUUUGGAUACCACGUCGAUAAGGCUUCCAUUUUUUCUACCAUACAUGCAUUGGUUUAUGAUUCACAGUUCGUGGAAGAAUUUGAAGAAGGUUGGAGGGCGAUGAUUGACACAUAUGGGUUGCACAGUAAUGAGUGGUUGUCGGGACUAUUUGAUAAUAUAGGUGUUGGGUUCCUUGCUACUUGAAAACUACAUUUUGGGCUGGGAUGUCGACGACUCAGGGAAGUGAGAGUAUGAACGCAUUCUUUGAUGGGUAUGUUCAUUCGAAGACCUCGUUGAAGCAAUUUGUCAAACAGUAUAAACAGGUACUAAGGAAUAAGGUAAAGAAGGAGUUCCAGGCCGACUUCAAGUCAUACUCCCAAAUGGUACCAUGCACAACAAUGUUUGAAAUGGAGAAGCAAUAUCAAAACUGUUACACCAUUUCGAAGUUCAGAGAAGUUCAACCUGAGCUUAUAGGGAAAGUUUAUUGUGACAUCAUGUCUACUACGGAAGGCACUUCAUGCAUAACCUAUGAAAUACGGGAGUUUGUAAUGGUUGAUUAUAGACGAAAGAUCAAAAAGUUUUUCGUGUCAUUUGAAUGAGAUAAUUGCGAAAUUGUUUGUAGUUGUCAUUUGUUUGAGUUUCAAGGAAUUUUGUGCCAUCAUGCUAUCGUAGUCUUGAUCUGUAAUGAUGUCACGUCUCUUCCAGAUAGGUAUAUACUACGAAGAUGGAGGAGAGAGGUUUGUAGAGCACACACCAAGGUUGCAUUGAAUUAUGCCGGGUUGGUAUCUAUGCCUGAACAGUUGAGAUAUAACGAUAUAUGUCAGGCUUUUGUCGAGGUUGCAAACCUAGCAGCUAAUGAUAAGGAUGCUGCUAUACGAUCAAGGAGUGGAUAAAUAAUCAAAAGGAAGAGUUGAUGACAAUAAAAUUAGGCUCCGAAAGUAAUCGCAUUUUACAUCACGAUAUUCAGUUAGCCUCACAGUGUAAUGAAUCUGAAAACAAUGCCAUAAGGGAUCCUAUAUCGACAAGAAGAAAGGGCGCUCCUAAGAAGCUUCAGAGAAAAGGCCGACUUGGAGACGUCUUCGAAAAAGGCAAAGGCUACAUUGCCCUCGACUAGAGGAAAUGGACCAACAUCCAGGCAUAGUGAUACACCGUCUGCACCCGUCGUCCAAGCAUCUCAACAAUAUUCUAUGCAGACAUCGUUUUCGUAUUCACAACUACUGUUGGGUGAUGUAGAAAGUCUUACCUUCUCGCAACACUGGCCAGCCUCAAGUUUGGUCCCCCAACAUCAACAAAUGUCAUAUUCAACGAUCAAGGUCGUUCGAUUCCAUACAGUUAACUAUCCACAUUUCCCACAAGGUGGUCCAGGCAUAUGAACAAUGGAUGAAGAAUUUUUGGACUUUUGCUAUUCGUUCUUUGCUGUCUAUCAUGUUAGGAUUUUUGGGACAUUUUUUAUUUCGCGGAGUAAAAAAAAAUGCCUAAGAGCGAAAUGUUUCUAUUUUUGUUUGUGGGGAUAAUUCUGUAAAUUUGUCUUGGUCCAUUUCCACUAGGAAGGAAGGGUACAUUCUUGACCUCAUUAGUUAUUCAUAUCUCGACUACCACUGUACUAUGAUUGAUAUUCAAGCAUUUGUAAAUGACAAUUUGGCACUAUGCCUAUAAAAUAUCUCAAGACUGGAUCUUUUGUUA